ACACGUCUACAUUAGAUACCCGCGUAGUCCCAGCCGUAAACUAUGCGCGUUAGGUGUAUCGGUGACCACGAGUUACCGAGGUGCCGAAGGGAAACCGUGAAACGUGCCGCCUGGGAAGUACGGUCGCAAGGCUGAAACUUAAGGAAUUGGCGGGGAGCACCACAACGGGUGGAGCCUGCGGUUUAAUUGGACUCAACGCCGGGAAGCUCACCGGAUAAGACAGCGGAAUGAUUGCCGGGCUGAAGACUCUGCAUGACUAGCUG
rnacentral:rRNA from 1 species